rnacentral:rRNA from 1 species
AUUUUUGGACGUUGUGCCCUUGAGGCGUGGCUUCCGGAGCUAACGCGUUAAAUCGACCGCCUGGGGAGUACGGCCGCAAGGUUAAAACUCAAAUGAAUUGACGGGGGCCCGCACAAGCGGUGGAGCAUGUGGUUUAAUUCGAUGCAACGCGAAGAACCUUACCUACUCUUGACAUCCAGAGAACUUUCCAGAGAUGGAUUGGUGCCUUCGGGAACUCUGAGACAGGUGCUGCAUGGCUGUCGUCAGCUCGUGUUGUGAAAUGUUGGGUUAAGUCCCGCAACGAGCGCAACCCUUAUCCUUUGUUGCCAGCGGUUCGGCCGGGAACUCAAAGGAGACUGCCAGUGAUAAACUGGAGGAAGGUGGGGAUGACGUCAAGUCAUCAUGGCCCUUACGAGUAGGGCUACACACGUGCUACAAUGGCGUAUACAAAGAGAAGCGACCUCGCGAGAGCAAGCGGACCUCAUAAAGUACGUCGUAGUCCGGAUUGGAGUCUGCAACUCGACUCCAUGAAGUCGGAAUCGCUAGUAAUCGUAGAUCAGAAUGCUACGGUGAAUACGUUCCCGGGCCUUGUACACACCGCCCGUCACACCAUGGGAGUGGGUUGCAAAAGAAGUAGGUAGCUUAACCUUCGGGAGGGCGCUUACCACUUUGUGAUUCAUGACUGGGGUGAAGUCGUAACAAGGUAACCGUAAGGGGACCCGCAUAUUCCGCCAGA